rfam:Picea glauca, whole genome shotgun sequence.
UCCAUUAUAGUCUAGUUGGUUAGGAUACUCAUCUCUCAGCCAAGAGACUUAGGUUCAAGUCCCAACAAUGGAA